AACUUUCGACAACGGAUCUCUUGGCUCUCGCAUCGAUGAAGAACGCACUUAAAUGCGAUAAGUAAUGUGAAUUGCAGAAUUCAGUGAAUCAUCGAAUCUUUGAACGCACCUUGCGCCCUUUGGUAUUCCGAGGGGCAUGCCUGUUUGAGUGUCAUUAAAU
rnacentral:rRNA from 1 species